rnacentral:rRNA from 1 species
UACGAAGGGGGCUAGCGUUGCUCGGAAUCACUGGGCGUAAAGCGCACGUAGGCGGAUCUUUAAGUCAGGGGUGAAAUCCUGGAGCUCAACUCCAGAACUGCCUUUGAUACUGGGGAUCUCGAGUCCGGAAGAGGUGAGUGGAACUCCGAGUGUAGAGGUGAAAUUCGUAGAUAUUCGGAAGAACACCAGUGGCGAAGGCGGUUACCUGGAGCUUUGCUGACGCUGAUGCGCGAAAGCGUGGGGAGCGAUCCGG